rnacentral:rRNA from 1 species
GAUGAACGCUGGCGGCGUGCCUAAUACAUGCAAGUCGAACGCACAGCGAAAGGUGCUUGCACCUUUCAAGUGAGUGGCGAACGGGUGAGUAACACGUGGAUAACCUACCUCAAGGUUGGGGAUAACAUUUGGAAACAGAUGCUAAUACCGAAUAAAACUUCGUAUCGCAUGAUACAAGGUUAAAAGGCGCUACGGCGUCACCUAGAGAUGGAUCCGCGGUGCANAGUUAGUUGGUGGGGUAAAGGCCUACCAAGACAAUGAUGCAUAGCCGAGUUGAGAGACUGAUCGGCCACA